rnacentral:rRNA from 1 species
AUUGAACGCUGGCGGCAUGCCUUACACAUGCAAGUCGAACGGUAACAGGUCUUCGGAUGCUGACGAGUGGCGAACGGGUGAGUAAUACAUCGGAACGUGCCUAGUAGUGGGGGAUAACUACUCGAAAGAGUGGCUAAUACCGCAUGAGAUCUACGGAUGAAAGCAGGGGAUCGCAAGACCUUGUGCUACUAGAGCGGCCGAUGGCAGAUUAGGUAGUGGGUGGGAUAAAAGCUUACCAAGCCGACGAUCUGUAGCUGGGCUGGGAGGUCGAUCGGCGACAGUGGGACUGAGACACGGCCCAGAAUCCUGCGGGAGGCAGCAGUGGGGAAUUUUGGACAAUGGGCGAAAGCCUGAUCCAGCAAGGUCGGGUGCAGGAUGAAGGCCUUCGGGUUGUAAACUGCUUUUGUACGGAACGAAAAGCCCCGGGUUAAUACCCUGGGGUCAUGACGGUACCGUAAGAAUAAGCACCGGCUAACUACGUGCCAGCCGCCGCCGUAA